rnacentral:rRNA from 1 species
AUUGAACGCUGGCGGCAUGCUUUACACAUGCAAGUCGAACGGUAACAGGCCUUCGGGUGCUGACGAGUGGCGAACGGGUGAGUAAUGCAUCGGAACGUACCCAGAGGUGGGGGAUAACGCAGCGAAAGCUGUGCUAAUACCGCAUGUGAUCUGAGGAUGAAAGCGGGGGACCGAGCAGCAAUGUUUGGCCUCGCGCCUUUGGAGCGGCCGAUGUCGGAUUAGCUAGUUGGUGGGGGAAAGGCCUACCAUGGCGACGAUCCGUAUCUGGUCUGAGAGGACGACCAGCCACACGGGGUGUGAGACAGGGCCGAGACUCCUACGGGAGGCAGCAGUGGGGAAUUUUGGACAAUGGGCGCGAGCCUGAUCCAGCAAUGCGGCGGGAGGGAAGAAGGCGUUCGGGUUGUAAACCGCUGUUGGCAGGAGCGAAACGGUGUCCGCUAAUACCGGGCGAUAAUGACGGUACCUGCAGAAUAAGCACCGGCUAACUACGUG